rnacentral:lncRNA from 10 species
UCAGACUAAGGAGGAAUACUGGGUAGGGGGGAAAGCAUCAGAGCAGGGCCCAUAGAGGGGUGGGGCAGGGGGAGAAAGGGUUGAGAGGUUUUGUUAAGGGUGGAGGAGUGGGAGGAGAGAUUGGUAGUGAGAGACGUGCUUAAGGGACUGCUCAGUUUGAAGUAGAUUGGAGACAUUUUCUCAUGUUUCAGCCUCCUUGGACCAAGCAAAAUAAGCUGACCUUUGAAGAGAACAGAUCUUGAGGGGGAUCUGUAGAUGGACACAGGGAGAUUCCAGGUGCCUCAGAGGGAUCAACUUGCAGUUCCAAGUUGUCCUCAGGGAAAUCUUGCCAUUUUUUGGGAUAAUGAACUGAAUUCUCAUCACAGUGGAAUACGUAUCAUCGGAAGGGAUUUUUAAAGGGCAGGGUGAGAAGUGGAUUGAGAAUUUCGCAUAGCACCAAGGUUAAACAGAAGCCAACUACGAAACAAAGCCAGAAGGGCACUCAAGCAAAUAAUCAAAAUCAAAUCCUUACCACGCUGCCAGGGACCGAUAUAUCCAGAGCAUGGGACCAGGAGCUGGACUCACGGUGGGAUCUCUGAUCAGUCACAGAAGGAGCUGGACAAGGAGUAUCUAGCUGUUUCUAGCUUGUUUGGAGGGACAAAUAGUUCAGCUAAUCAUUUAAGAAACAAAGAAUGGUAAUUUGGAGGGUCUCUGUGUCCUUAUCACAGGAAACAAGGCAGUCACCCAUGACUGUUACGGAAAUCACAAGAACGAGUAUACGGCAUUUAUGAAUGGACCUACUGGUGUGCUAGUAGGGCUGCCAUAACAAAGUACUGCACAGAUGGGGCUUAACCAGAGAUGCAUCGUCUCACCAUGCUGGAGGCUGGAAGUCCCAGGUCAACACAUGGACAGGGCUGGUUUCUCCUCUGGCCUCUCCCCUCAGCCAUCUUCUCCCUGUGUCCCCACAUGGUCUUUCCUCCAUGUGUCUGUGUCCUCAUCUCCUCUACUUAUGAGGACACCUGUCAGGUUGGAUUAGGGCCCACCCUAGUGACUUCAUUUUACCUUCAUCACCUCUUUAAAGACCUCUUCAAAUACGUUCACACUCUGAGUUACUGGGGGUUUGGACUCCAACAUCUGAAUUUUAAGAGGACACAACUCAGUCCGUGACAGCGGGUCUUCUCGAAGUCUCGUGGGGAAGAGUGGUUCUUUGCAGUAAGUCAUUUCCUGGAACACAAAAGGGUGGGAGACAUCUGACAUACAAGUGUGGGCAAUUGCCCUUGGCUGUUGUCCAGAGGCACAGGGCUCAGGUGCAGCCCUGCACUGUCACAGGGUCCCAAAGGAGGCCCCUUGGUUUGCUGUGCUCCACACUCCAAGCUUCCACGAGCUGAUGGGGGAGGGGUGAGAAAGAACUCGCAAGGGAACCGAGACCUACUGAAAAAAGGAAGAAGUGAAGACGAUGUCUACGGGGCUGAGGGAUACAGGGGAAAUGUGGUUUGAGGUUGACAGAGGGGAGGGGGAAAGAGCCACACGGCAGGAGGCUGGGCUGAGAGAGAUUCUGAAUGGUCUCCAGGAGGCACAGAAUGUGAGAGACAGGUGAGGGAGGGAAGAUUUCCCCCACAAAUCUUCACCCUGUUAAUACAUGUGGGCUCAGCCCCACAGGAGUUGUUCGGUGAGCACACACAUUACUGUUGAAGACUGGAAUCUGAUUUGUGCAACUCUGUGUUCAGCCCCUGCUAAGAAAGGCCUGGGAGCAGGGUGCAUGAAAGGGUCUGCUUCAUUCUGGGUGCCCAGCCACCAGCAGGGUACCACUCCUGCCAGACGCAUGGGCAGGCAGCUCGCCUCGUUCCUGGACUGUGAGCUCCCUGAGCACCAGGAACGACCUACUGCUGCCUUACUGUUCCCUCUGCACACAGCAGAGGCUUGGAUGGAAGGAAUUCCUGGGUCCCUCUGAAAAUGUUCAGGCAUUAGUCACGUAUGAAUCAAUCUAGACCUGUUUUUGCGUCCGAUUAUGUUUUCAACUUGCACCACCUCUUGGGGGCACUGAUGUCAUAAUUCUUCCAUUCCCCAUGUGUCCUGACCAGGCAGGAGCUACGUGGCUGUCUGAACUCUUGUGGGUUUGUGAUAAAUGGGCGAGUGUUGAAAGAGAAAGGCAAACAAACUGCUUUCCCAAAGAAGUCGGGAGACGCCCUCGACAAGCCCUGGACAGAGCAGAGAAUGGGCUCCGCCAGGAGCUGAGGAGAGCCUUGGGGAGGCUUCUGUAUCCAGGGACCUCAGCCUUACUGCACCUACCCUACCAAGCAGUGCCCUGAGGACCUGAACUUAGCCCUGUGUGUGGACGUCUGUUGCAGAAUGCGCCAAGUGCCCAGAAAAGAGACCAGGGAGACAAAGGCAGCAGGGUAGGAUGGCAGAGGGGACACCUCCUCCAUCCAGCCACCUCUGUCUGGUGCUUAGGCAUCUGGGUGCCCCACACUUCCUGUGCUGCCCAAACAAGCACCAGCUCGGUUCUAAAGGGAAGUAAGACAACACGCACAGCAGAGGCCUGGAAACGGCCAGGGAAGGAGGAGAGGCCAAACGUUAGCAUCUGAGUACUUUCUUUUUGGGAGGUGCUGUGAGGCGUGCAAAAGCGAACAGUAAUGGCUCUCAGUAACCUCAGCAAAUGCCAGCACUCAGCAGCCGCCCUUCCAGAGAGGGGUCGCUGGCAGCUGCAGCAUCAAGCGGAGUUGCUGCAUAGGAUGCUUUUUAUAGUGCUGUUUGUCUUCACGGUUCUCCAACAGAUGAGCUGGAGGGUGGAUGUUUUUAAGAUCCAUUUGUGUACCGUGAA